CACGUAGGCGGUUUAGUAAGUCUGAUGUGAAAGCCCACGACUCAAUCGUGGAAGUGCAUUGGAUACUGCUAAACUAGAAUUCGGGAGAGGUAAGCGGAAUUCCUGGUGUAGAGGUGAAAUUCGUAGAUAUCAGGAGGAACAACGGUGGCGAAGGCGGCUUACUGGACCGAUAUUGACGCUGAGGUGCGAAAGUGUGGGGAGCAAACA
rnacentral:rRNA from 1 species